UUAAGCGACUAAGCGUACACGGUGGAUGCCCUGGCAGUCAGAGGCGAUGAAGGACGUGCUAAUCUGCGAUAAGCGUCGGUAAGGUGAUAUGAACCGUUAUAACCGGCGAUUUCCGAAUGGGGAAACCCAGUGUGAUUCGUCACACUAUCAUUAACUGAAUCCAUAGGUUAAUGAGGCGAACCGGGGGAACUGAAACAUCUAAGUACCCCGAGGAAAAGAAAUCAACCGAGAUUCCCCCAGUAGCGGCGAGCGAACGGGGAGGAGCCCAGAGCCUGAAUCAGUGUGUGUGUUAGUGGAAGCGUCUGGAAAGGCGUGCGAUACAGGGUGACAGCCCCGUACACAAAAAUGCACAUACUGUGAGCUCGAUGAGUAGGGCGGGACACGUGGUAUCCUGUCUGAAUAUGGGGGGACCAUCCUCCAAGGCUAAAUACUCCUGACUGACCGAUAGUGAACCAGUACCGUGAGGGAAAGGCGAAAAGAACCCCGGCGAGGGGAGUGAAAAAGAACCUGAAACCGUGUACGUACAAGCAGUGGGAGCCUCUUAAUGGGGUGACUGCGUACCUUUUGUAUAAUGGGUCAGCGACUUAUAUUCUGUAGCAAGGUUAACCGAAUAGGGGAGCCGAAGGGAAACCGAGUCUUAACUGGGCGUUAAGUUGCAGGGUAUAGACCCGAAACCCGGUGAUCUAGCCAUGGGCAGGUUGAAGGUUGGGUAACACUAACUGGAGGACCGAACCGACUAAUGUUGAAAAAUUAGCGGAUGACUUGUGGCUGGGGGUGAAAGGCCAAUCAAACCGGGAGAUAGCUGGUUCUCCCCGAAAGCUAUUUAGGUAGCGCCUCGUGAAUUCAUCUCCGGGGGUAGAGCACUGUUUCGGCAAGGGGGUCAUCCCGACUUACCAACCCGAUGCAAACUGCGAAUACCGGAGAAUGUUAUCACGGGAGACACACGGCGGGUGCUAACGUCCGUCGUGAAGAGGGAAACAACCCAGACCGCCAGCUAAGGUCCCAAAGUCAUGGUUAAGUGGGAAACGAUGUGGGAAGGCCCAGACAGCCAGGAUGUUGGCUUAGAAGCAGCCAUCAUUUAAAGAAAGCGUAAUAGCUCACUGGUCGAGUCGGCCUGCGCGGAAGAUGUAACGGGGCUAAACCAUGCACCGAAGCUGCGGCAGCGACACUAUGUGUUGUUGGGUAGGGGAGCGUUCUGUAAGCCUGUGAAGGUGUACUGUGAGGUAUGCUGGAGGUAUCAGAAGUGCGAAUGCUGACAUAAGUAACGAUAAAGCGGGUGAAAAGCCCGCUCGCCGGAAGACCAAGGGUUCCUGUCCAACGUUAAUCGGGGCAGGGUGAGUCGACCCCUAAGGCGAGGCCGAAAGGCGUAGUCGAUGGGAAACAGGUUAAUAUUCCUGUACUUGGUGUUACUGCGAAGGGGGACGGAGAAGGCUAUGUUGGCCGGGCGACGGUUGUCCCGGUUUAAGCGUGUAGGCUGGUUUUCCAGGCAAAUCCGGAAAAUCAAGGCUGAGGCGUGAUGACGAGGCACUACGGUGCUGAAGCAACAAAUGCCCUGCUUCCAGGAAAAGCCUCUAAGCAUCAGGUAACAUCAAAUCGUACCCCAAACCGACACAGGUGGUCAGGUAGAGAAUACCAAGGCGCUUGAGAGAACUCGGGUGAAGGAACUAGGCAAAAUGGUGCCGUAACUUCGGGAGAAGGCACGCUGAUAUGUAGGUGAAGUCCCUCGCGGAUGGAGCUGAAAUCAGUCGAAGAUACCAGCUGGCUGCAACUGUUUAUUAAAAACACAGCACUGUGCAAACACGAAAGUGGACGUAUACGGUGUGACGCCUGCCCGGUGCCGGAAGGUUAAUUGAUGGGGUUAGCGGUAACGCGAAGCUCUUGAUCGAAGCCCCGGUAAACGGCGGCCGUAACUAUAACGGUCCUAAGGUAGCGAAAUUCCUUGUCGGGUAAGUUCCGACCUGCACGAAUGGCGUAAUGAUGGCCAGGCUGUCUCCACCCGAGACUCCAGUGAAAUUGAACUCGCUGUGAAGAUGCAGUGUACCCGCGGCAAGACGGAAAGACCCCGUGAACCUUUACUAUAGCUUGACACUGAACAUUGAGCCUUGAUGUGUAGGAUAGGUGGGAGGCUUUGAAGUGUGGACGCCAGUCUGCAUGGAGCCGGCCUUGAAAUACCACCCUUUAAUGUUUGAUGUUCUAACGUUGGCCCCUGACCGGGGUUGCGGACAGUGUCUGGUGGGUAGUUUGACUGGGGCGGUCUCCUCCUAAAGAGUAACGGAGGAGCACGAAGGUUGGCUAAUCCUGGUCGGACAUCAGGAGGUUAGUGCAAUGGCAUAAGCCAGCUUGACUGCGAGCGUGACGGCGCGAGCAGGUGCGAAAGCAGGUCAUAGUGAUCCGGUGGUUCUGAAUGGAAGGGCCAUCGCUCAACGGAUAAAAGGUACUCCGGGGAUAACAGGCUGAUACCGCCCAAGAGUUCAUAUCGACGGCGGUGUUUGGCACCUCGAUGUCGGCUCAUCACAUCCUGGGGCUGAAGUAGGUCCCAAGGGUAUGGCUGUUCGCCAUUUAAAGUGGUACGCGAGCUGGGUUUAGAACGUCGUGAGACAGUUCGGUCCCUAUCUGCCGUGGGCGCUGGAGAACUGAGGGGGGCUGCUCCUAGUACGAGAGGACCGGAGUGGACGCAUCACUGGUGUUCGGGUUGUCAUGCCAAUGGCACUGCCCGGUAGCUAAAUGCGGAAGAGAUAAGUGCUGAAAGCAUCUAAGCACGAAACUUGCCCGAGAUGAGUUCUCCCUGACUCCUUGAGAGUCCUGAAGGAACGUUGAAGACGACGACGUUGAUAGGCCGGGUGUGUAAGCGCAGCGAUGCGUUGAGCUAACCGGUACUAAUGAACCGUGAGGCUUAACCUU
rnacentral:rRNA from 1 species